rnacentral:rRNA from 1 species
CAGUAGCCACGGGAAUACGGAGGGAGCUAGCGUUGUUCGGAAUUACUGGGCGUAAAGCGCACGUAGGCGGCUUUGUAAGUAAGAGGUGAAAGCCUGGUGCUCAACACCAGAACUGCCUUUUAGACUGCAUCGCUUGAAUCCAAGAGAGGUGAGUGGAAUUCCGAGUGUAGAGGUGAAAUUCGUAGAUAUUCGGAAGAACACCAGUGGCGAAGGCGGCUCACUGGCUUGGUAUUGACGCUGAGGUGCGAAAGCGUGGGGAGCAAACAGGAUUAGAUACCCGCGUAGUCCCUGUCUCUUAUAC